UGGGAUAUAACUCAGUGGUAGAGUGCUUGCUUUGCAUGCAAGAAGCCUCGGGGUUCCGAUCCCCGAUAUCUCCA
rnacentral:tRNA from 1 species